CUCCAGAUGUUGCUGAACUGCAACUCCCAUGCUUCUAUGAAUGAAAUAGAUAGUCUGAGAAUCAUGGGAAUUGUAGUUCAGCAACAUCUGGAG
rnacentral:miRNA from 1 species